AUGCAAGGAAUGGCGUUAGCAAUGCAGCACUGUAAUCUUCCAAUCAUCGUUCAAUCCGACUCCUCACAAGCUCUUUUGGCUUUGACGGGUGAAAGUCUCUCCCGUUCGGCAUAUGGUCAUUUAGUUGCUGAGAUUCGUCAUCUUAUGGGUGAAAGAGAGUUUGUUCCUUUAAAAAUAAAGCGAGAACAGAAUAGGGUAGCAGAUCGUUUGGCUAUGUAUAGUCGUAGAGAGAGUACUACAGCUGUAUGGCUUGGGCAGGGCCCUCCUUGUAUCGAGGAGCUUUUGCAUUUGAUUGUAACCCUAUAA
rnacentral:rRNA from 1 species